UACAGAGGGGGCGAGCGUUGUUCGGAAUUACUGGGCGUAAAGGGCGCGUAGGCGGCCCUCUAAGUCGAACGUGAAAUCCCCGGGCUCAACCCGGGAACUGCGUCCGAUACUGGAGGGCUCGAAUCCGGGAGAGGGAUGUGGAAUUCCAGGUGUAGCGGUGAAAUGCGUAGAUAUCUGGAGGAACACCGGUGGCGAAGGCGGCAUCCUGGACCGGUAUUGACGCUGAGGCGCGAAAGCGUGGGUAGCAAACAGG
rnacentral:rRNA from 1 species